rnacentral:rRNA from 1 species
UACGUAGGGUGCAAGCGUUGUCCGGAAUUAUUGGGCGUAAAGGGCUCGUAGGCGGUCCAUCGCGUCGGGAGUGAAAAGCUGGGGCUCAACCCCAGUCCUGCUUUCGAUACGGGCAGACUUGAGGCAUGCAGGGGAGAACGGAAUUCCUGGUGUAGCGGUGAAAUGCGCAGAUAUCAGGAGGAACACCGGUGGCGAAGGCGGUUCUCUGGGCAUGUUCUGACGCUGAGGAGCGAAAGUGUGGGGAGCGAACAGG